UAAAUGCAAGUCGAGGGGUAGCAGGAUUAAGCUUGCUUAAUUGCUGACGACCGGCGCACGGGUGCGUAACGCGUAUGCAACCUACCCUAUACUGGGGUAUAGCCCGAAGAAAUUCGGAUUAAUCCCCCAUGGCAUCCUGAAGCGGCAUCGCUUUCGGGAUUAAAGGUUACGGUAUAGGAUGGGCAUGCGUCCCAUUAGCUAGAUGGUGAGGUAACGGCUCACCAUGGCGACGAUGGGUAGGGGGCCUGAGAGGGUGGUCCCCCACACUGGUACUGAGACACGGACCAGACUCCUACGGGAGGCAGCAGUGAGGAAUAUUGGUCAAUGGGCGAGAGCCUGAACCAGCCAUGCCGCGUGCAGGAAGACGGUCCUAUGGAUUGUAAACUGCUUUUAUU
rnacentral:rRNA from 1 species